UCAGCAAGAUGAAAAUGACAAGUACGCAGUUCAAAAUUCAAAAUGUGGAUAAGCUGAGGUUCAAGGUCUUACCUUUGCAGAUUUUCAUAUUUUGCAUGAAUGAAUUCAAAGGUUAUAUAAUGGACGGCAGAGAAAGAAAAAAAAAACUUUUCAAUUAUCCUGCUCCUGGAUAAAUGUAAAACAUCUUGUUUUUUGGACAAGAACUAUAGAAGAUACAGAGAAAUUAUAAACAGCAGAAAUGAUAGGCAAUUAAAAAUUUGCAGAAGCAAACUAAACCUAAAUGGUGAUCAGACAUCUUGGUUUUCAUGAUCAAUAGGUCAUUACUGAAGAGGAAACUUAAAGUUGAAAUUUAUUUACAAAGUGCAUAAUUGGAUUAAUUUGAACUGGAAUGUGUACUUUCCUGCAAAAAAGAAACAGGAAAUUUCAUCAUUAUCACAUGAUAAUGCCCAUAAACAAAAUGGAGUUCUAUCAUAGAUACACAAAAACACUAUUGCAUAAAAGCAACAACAUAUUAUAUAUAUUCAUCGAAAGAAAGGAGAAUGCAGAACAAAUACUAUUUUGUUGUUGAAAAAGGAACACCAGUUUUAUCCACUCAUUUACAUCGCUCCCUCAUAUCAAAUAUACGGAAGAAGA